UAGGGAAUUUUCGGCAAUGGACGAAAGCCUGACCGAGCAACGCCGCGUGGGGGAAGAAGGUUUUCGGAUCGUAAAACUCUGUUGUUAGAGAAGAACAAGGACGUCAGUAACUGAACGUCCCCUGACGGUAUCUAACCAGAAAGCAACGGCUAACUACGUGCCAGCACCCGCGGUAAUACGUAGGUGGCAAGCGUUGUCCGGAUUUAUUGGGCGUAAAGCGUGCGCAGGCGGUUUCUUAAGUCUGAUGUGAAAGCCCCCGGCUCAACCGGGGAGGGUCAUUGGAAACGGGGAGACUUGAGUGCAGAAGAGGGGAGUGGAAUUCCAGGUGUAGCGGUGAAAUGCGUAGAUAUAUGGAGGAACACCAGUGGCGAAGGCGGCUCUCUGGUCUGUAACUGACGCUGAGGCUCGAAAGCGUGGGGAGCAAACAGG
rnacentral:rRNA from 1 species